UCUUGAUACAGAUUGGUCAGGUGAGCUUUUUCUUUUACUGAACUAUCUCAUCUAUAAUGCGGUUUAUUCCAAUAUGUUUUUUGGUCGGUCAUUCAUUCGUGGACUAACUCAGCUUUACUUCCUUUGUUUAUGGGUGUUUUGUAUUUUGCCGUUGCAUUAAGGUAAGCCUAUUUUAAAUUUCCUGUCUUCUUUGAUUCUUUAUUCUACCUUUCAUUUAUCCAUUAUUUGUUCUUAUUUGUGUUCUG
rnacentral:lncRNA from 1 species